rnacentral:rRNA from 1 species
GACGAACGCUGGCGGCGUGCUUAACACAUGCAAGUCGAACGGAAAGGCCCCCAUCUUGGUGGGGGUGCUCGAGUGGCGAACGGGUGAGUAACACGUGGGUGAUCUGCCCUGUACUUCGGGAUAAGCUUGGGAAACUGGGUCUAAUACCGGAUAGGACCAUGGUUUAGUGUCUCAUGGUGGAAAGAUUAUUGUUUUGGUGCAGGAUGAGCUCGCGGCCUAUCAGCUUGUUGGUGGGGUAAUGGCCUACCAAGGCGUCGACGGGUAGCCGGCCUGAGAGGGUGGACGGCCACAUUGGGACUGAGAUACGGCCCAGACUCCUACGGGAGGCAGCAGUGGGGAAUAUUGCGCAAUGGGCGCAAGCCUGAUGCAGCGACGCCGCGUGGGGGAUGACGGCCUUCGGGUUGUAAACUCCUUUCGUUAGAGACGAAGCCGCACUUUUUUGGGGUGUGGUGACGGUACCUUUGUUAAGAAGCACCGGCUAACUACGUG